rnacentral:rRNA from 1 species
GUGGGGGAUAUUGCGCAAUGGGGGAAACCCUGACGCAGCAACGCCGCGUGAAGGAAGAAGGUCUUCGGAUCGUAAACUUUUGUCUUUGGGGACGAUAAUGACGGUACCCAAGGAGGAAGCCACGGCUAACUACGUGCCAGCAGCCGCGGUAAUACGUAGGUGGCGAGCGUUGUCCGGAUUUACUGGGUGUAAAGGGCGUGUAGGCGGGAUAGCAAGUCAGAUGUGAAAUACCAAGGCUUAACUUUGGGGCUGCAUUUGAAACUGUUAUUCUUGAGUGUCGGAGAGGGAAGCGGAAUUCCUAGUGUAGCGGUGAAAUGCGUAGAUAUUAGGAGGAACACCAGUGGCGAAGGCGGCUUUCUGGACGAUAACUGACGCUGAGGCGCGAAAGCGUGGGGAGCAAACAGGAUUAGAAACCCCAGUAGUCC